UUUUUAAUAAAAAAAUAUUGUAGGAAUACAUUGCAAUUUCAUAUCUUCACAUAGAAUAACAGAUGAUUUUGAUAUUGUGUUGGAAUAGCAUAUGCAUCGUAAGAAAAGUCAAGUUGAAGCUGCGGGAAAGUUGGAGUUGAUAAUGUACCUCGAAUUUGAUGUAUUCGAGUUUGAGACAUUAGAUGAUGUAGAGACAAAAAAAUUUAACAUACUUUAUUGGUGGUCUGUUAAUCAAACUAAGUUUCUAGUCUUGUCACGUAUGACAACUGAUAUUCUUGCAGUUUUGAUCUCUACUAUCGUUUUAGAAAGUGCUUUUAAUGUUGAAGGUAGAGUGAUUGUAAACAUGUUUAUAUGUGAAGGUGAUUUGUUUCGAGCCAAAUAUCGAGUAAAAAAACCAAUACAGGGCUGAUUGAGGUUUGACAAGUGGCAUGAAAGUUAUGGAAUCAUGACAUGGAAUAUGGUUGAUUUAGGUUUGAGAGGAGGCAACUUCAUGUUGGUCAUUUGUUCAUGUUUAAGCAAUCUGUAAACAUGUUAAAAUUAUAUAAUUAAUGUGUAAUGUAAACUACUUUAUUUUGUAUUCAUGUCUUUCAAAUCAAAUAUUAAGGAGAAAUCUAAACUUAUGAUGAAUGAUGAUAAUAGGAUGCAAUAUAUAUUUUGGAUUAAUAAUAUUCUUUAUAUAUGUAUUUUAACUUUU